GCUUGGUGUGGUGGUGCACAUCUGUAAUCCCAGUAGCUUGGGAGGCUGAGGCAGGAGGAUUGUGAGUUCAAAGCCAGCCUUAGCAAAAGUGAGGCUCUAAGUAACUCAGAGAGACCCUGUCUCUA
rnacentral:sRNA from 1 species